rnacentral:lncRNA from 1 species
UGUGUUACCUCUCUUACAGGGGCUGAGCUCAGUGGCUGCCAAGUGAUCGUGUACAGUUACGUUGCCUCCUGUCGGGGAACAACGUUUGCAUAGUUGGUUCCAAGGAGCAGUGCUGUUCACUCAGUUAUAUAAUCGCAGGCAUGUUUUCCAUCCCUACCGGAGCCAAACUUGUCGGUACGCUGUCCUGAGCUGCUAAGGGCAGGGAAUUUGUUGGGGCUGGGAGGAUGUCCUUCGACACACCACAAACAAGGAAACCUUUUUCUAUGGCAUGAAUGACGUGUAUGCAUUCUCUCGCUGCUUAGAAAUGCCAGGAGAAAGCCAUCAGCAUCUGGGAAUCAAAGAACUUCUUCAUCGAGCUGGACCCACUCCCCGGGGCUGUGGAAGCUGUGAAGCAAAUGGCUAACCUGGCAGACACCGACGUGUUCAUCUGCACAAGUCCGAUCAAGAAGUACCGCUACUGCCCUUACGAGAAGGUAAGCCGCGAGUCGUGCGUGGUGGGGACACGGGGAAUGAGUCACCCGAAUAGCCCCGAAACAGCCCCGAAACACUCAAAGCUAGUGGCAUUUUCUUCACCUUCCCGGCGCAGCCACCUCCGCCGGGUGCAGUGCGGUUUUGCACCAGGGGAAUCCAGACCGGGCCCCAGAGCCGGGCCGCGGCCGCCCUGCCGCUGCGUUUGCCGCGUGAGCACGGAUGCACUCGCAGCACUCGCGCGGGCGGCCGGCGCUCAGCCCCCC